CGGCACGCUUAACAAUGCAAGUCGAACGAGAAACCCGAGCUUGCUCGGGUGGACAGUGGCAGACGGCUUAGUAACGCGUGGGUAUCUACCUAGAGGUUUGGAACAACUAUUGGAAACGAUAGCUAAUACCAAAUAUUCCCUAAGGGGGAAAGAUUUAUCGCCUUUAGAUGAGCCCGCGUCGGAUUAGCUUGUUGGUAGGGUAAAGGCCUACCAAGGCAACGAUCCGUAGCUGGUCUGAGAGGAUGAUCAGCAAGAUUGGGACUGAGACACGGCCCAGACUCCUACGGGAGGCAGCAGUGGGGAAUAUUGCGCAAUGGGGGAAACCCUGACGCAGCGAUGCCGCGUGAGUGAAGAAGGCCUUAGGGUUGUAAAACUCUUUCACCGGUGAAGAUAAUGACGGUAGCCGGAGAAGAAGCCCCGG
rnacentral:rRNA from 1 species